GUGAGAACUAUUAAAAUAGUUCCCAGUGGGCAAUUACUGACUUCAGUGAAUGCACCCCAAGGCCCAAAGCUACAAAAGAUGUCAGUGACUAUAAAUGUAGAAAAGCGAAAGAUAAGUAAAAAUGUAACUUACUACAACAUGAUAUCUCUACUUAGCAUAAAUAGCAUAAGUAUGAAAGCAACUAUGCAUGAAGUAAAAGUCUCCAGCUAUCAUAACGUUCACAAUGCGAAAUAGUAAAGUUCCGUUGUUUACUAUUCUAGUCAAUGUCCAAGUAGUACACUAAGUCAUCAUCUGUCCACAUGUCAUAAUGAAUACUCAAAGUCAAAUCUGAAGAGACCCACCCGAAGGCUGUCUAUGGCCCUGAGACCCACCCGUAGGCUGUCUGGCCGGUACCGAGCCUAAUGGCCCCGUGGUAGUCAUCAUCCCCACCCUAGGAAUGAGCCUGGCCCACAGCAAUCCACUUCGGUGCCCAAUCCCGCACGGCGAAUAUGAAUCGCGAUGGCUAUCUCCGGAGUGCCGGCUUGUAGGGAGCGACCCUCACAAGCAUGUGCGAAUGAGCACAAUGGCAAGUAGUCAAACGAUCUGUCGCAAGUACCAAGUCCUCAUGUCUAAUAACAUGGAAUGUGUCAAGUAUCCCAAUGGCCUAUCCCUAUGUCAUCAUGUCUCUAACAUAGAAUAUAGCAGAUAUGUAGUGGCCUAUCAAUAUGUCUCUAUGUUGCAGUUUUAUAGUUUACUAGUUUCAAGUGCCCCUUUAUGACACUCUUGUUCUCUAUGUCGAAGCAUGGCAACUAUGUUCCAAAGUACAUAUUCCUCAUAAGAGAUGUAUUUUCCACUUGCAAAAUAAACACUUUUUCCGUAUGCAUGCAUUCAACUCAUAUAGCUCUACUAUAUAGUGAAAUUUUCAUAAUACACAAGGCAUGCAUUUUAAGUGCUCUAAAAUUCAUAUAAAUUCCAUUUAGCAUAGAAAUGAAUUUAAAAAUAUUUUACAACAAGUAGAAAGAGCAUAGGGGCCAUUUCGCCCCAUUUCCACGAAGCCAAACCCACCGAUGACAACGAAACUCCUCGUGCGCUCCCACGAGGGUGUCCUCUAGUCUCCUAGUACCCUAGAGGUAUAAAAACAUGUGUCAUACGAGCCAAACGAACAAUACCUAGCUCAAUCAUUAAGCUUCUCAAGCUAGGGUUAGAGAAAACUCACCGAUUGCGAAGGAAGCUCUCUCGAUCUCCAAACGGGAGUUAGAGUCCUUCCAAUCUAACCUAAACAAAGGUUCUAAACCCAUCAAUUUGGUACAAAAGCCCUCAAAACGAAAAUCCCCAAAUCUAACCCUAAAAUGCCAAAUCUAGGGUUUGAUCUAGUAAAAUCCAACAAAAUCCGAAUCUAGAGGAGAGAAAUUGCUACUAACCUCUUAGAAGCUCCAAACCAAGCUCCAAAGUCCUCUAGGGUUGAAGGUUGAUCCUCAAACAAGCUCCAACCAAGAUCUCACACUUCUCCAAUGGUGGAAAACCCACAAAAAGCAAGAAGGAGAAGAGAAAAGAGAUCAAAACUAGCAAAAACCCAACAAAAAUGAAGAAGAAACCAAAGGGGAGGAGUUCUCACCUUAUCUUCUCUGUUCUAGGGCUCAAAAGAGCAGCCAUGAGGGCUGGGGUGACUUAUAUAGGCGUUGCAACAAUUGCAAAAACACCCCUCUACGAAACAGUCAAAAUCUGCACUGCGUACCGGUACACGGGUUUGUGUACCGGUACACUGCCCACGAAAUGCCAAACCCGAGCCUCGGGUUCGCUGGGAAAUGCUCUGUGUACCGGUACACAACCACGUACCGGUACAGCCAUCAACCCCGUACCGGUACAGCAAGCGAACCCGUACCGGUACACGGCCUGCUGAAGGCCACCCGAGAGCUGACCAAAAAUCCAACUUUUUGGAUUUUGGUACACAGCUUUAAACCACAAUUCUCGGGACUCGAACCAUAGGUCGGAACACUGUCAACGACCUACCAGAAAGUCUGGAAAAGCUCGACACACAAAUCAAACACUCGAACCUCGCAAUUUGCAAAGGUCCAGUGUGUUACAUUCACCCCUCCUAAAAAGGAGUUUCGUCCGCGAAACUCGAAAGCAAACGUCAUACCUCAAGACUCCAUCUGAAAAAGAUGGGGAUAGCGCUCCUGCAGCGCACUCUCUAGCUCCCACGUGGCCUCGCGCUCCGCGUGGUUGCUCCAAAGAACCUUCACAUACGGAAUAUCCCGAUUCCGCAGCUUUUUCACCUCGCGAGCCAAAAUCUUCACGGGUUGCUCCUCGAAGCUCAAAUCCUCGCGCAGCUCCACUGGUAUAAUAUCCAAAACAUGAGCUGGAUCAUGAAUGUACCUCCGAAGGACCGAUACAUGAAAGACGUUGUGCACGCCCGAUAGGUUCGGUGGUAGAGCAAGUCGAUACGCUACCGGACCUACACGCUCCAAGAUCUCAUACGGUCCAAUGAAACGGGGGCUCAACUUUCCCCGAAUCCCGAAUCUCUUGAUUCCUCUAGUCGGCGAGACCUUCAAGAAAACAUGGUCUCCAACUUGGAACUCCAAGUCUCGCCGUCGUCGAUCGGCGUAGCUCCUCUGUCUACUCUGCGCCGUCAAAAGUCGCUCCCGAGCAAUUCGAACCUUGUCCUCAGCUUCCUGGAGCACAUCAGGGCCUAAAGCCAAACUCUCGCCAACUUCGCUCCAAUGAAGUGGCGAUCUACACUUCCGUCCAUAAAGUGCUUCGAAGGGCGCCAUCUUGAUGCUUGCUUGAUAACUGUUGUUAUAAGCAAACUCCGCCAUAGGUAGAUGCUGCGACCAUCCUCCCUGGAAGUCUAUCACACAUGCCCGGAGCAUAUCCUCUAAGGUCUGAAUAGUGCGCUCCGACUAUACAUCACUCUGCGGGUGGAAUGCUGUACUGAAAUCCAAUCGGGUGCCUAGGGCGUCCUGUAGACUCCUCCAAAAGUGAGACACAAACCGGGUGUCCCGAUCUGAUACUAUCGAUGUAGGCACUCCAUGAAGUCGCACAAUCUCAUCAAGGUACACUUGUGCGAGCUUCUCUCCGGUCCAAGUCGUAUGAAUAGGUAUGAAGUGCGCCGACUUCGUCAACCUAUCCACGAUCACCCAAAUAGCGUCAUGCCCCGCCUGUGAGCGUGGCAAUCCUGUCACAAAGUCCAUGGUGAUCUUCUCCCAUUUCCACACUGGAAUAGGCAAACUCUGAAGUUUUCCCGCGGGAACUCGGUGCUCUGCAUUCACUUGUUGGCAAGUUAAGCAUCUAGCGACAAACUCGCCAACAUCCUUUUUCAUCCCGGGCCACCAAUAGAGCAACUUUAAGUCCUUAUACAUUUUGGUGCCUCCCGGAUGUAUAGCAUACGGCGCUCGGUGCGCUUCUUGAAGAAUAUCUUCUUUAAUCCCCGAAUCCGCGGGUAUACAAAUCUAUCCACGGAAACGCAUCAAUCCCUGAUCGUCCAAAAGGAAAUCGCCGGUGCAACCAUCAACCAUUUUACCUCGAAUCUUUUGCAACUCCACAUCGGAAGCUUGCUUUUCUUUAAUUCUAUCCAACAAUGUAGGUUGCACCACCGAUGUCAACAACCUCAUAGGCGUGUUAGGAGUCACUAUCUCCAACUCCAACCGCUUCAUCUGCUCGAUCAACUACGGUUGAGUCACAGCAUGCAUCGCUAAGUUUUCCAUCGAUUUCUUACUUAGCGCAUCCGCCACCACGUUAGCCUUGCCCGGGUAGUAAAGAAUCGUCAGAUCAUAAUCUUUGAGUAGCUCCAACCAUCUACGCUGCCUCAAGUUCAACUCCUUCUGAGUAAAUAGGUACUUUAAGCUCUUGUGAUCCGUGUAUACUUCACACCGCUCGCCAUAAAGAUAGUGGCGCCAUAGCUUCAAUGCGAACACUACGGCCGCCAACUCCAAAUCAUGCGUCGGGUAGUUCUUUUCAUAUUCCUUUAGUUGGCGAGAAGCAUACGCGAUCACCUUGCCAUCCUGCAUCAUUACACAGCACAAUCCGUUAAGUGAAGCAUCACUAUAAACCACAUACCUUACUCCAGCUACUGGUAGGGUCAAGAUCGGGGCGGUAGUCAAUCGUUGCUUCAACUCUUGGAAGCUUCGCUCGCACGCGUCAUUCCAAAUGAACUUGACUCCUUUAUGCGUGAGCCUCGUGAGGGGAGUAGAUAACCUUGCAAAUCCCUCAACGAAUCUCCGGUAGUAACCGGCCAACCCAAGGAAGCUCCGUAUCUCUGUGACGCUCGUCGGUCUCGGCCAAUCCUUGAUUGCUUCAAUCUUCUUGGGAUCCACGGCUAUACCCGAUCCCGAAAUCAAAUGUCCAAGGAAAGCUACCUCUCGAAGCCAAAAUUCACAUUCUUUAACUUGGCAUAAAGCUCCUUUUCCCGAAAUACUUGGAGUACAAUCCUCAAAUGCUCCUCGUGAUCUGCAUCACUUCGAGAGUAGACCAAAAUGUCGUCGAUGAACACCAUGACGAACCUGUCUAGAUAAGGCUUGAAAACAUGGUUCAUUAGAUCCAUAAAAGCUAUCGGGGCAUUAGUCAGCCCAAACGGCAUAACUUUGAACUCAUAGUGUCCAUACCGUGUUCUAAAAGCCGUCUUCGAUACAUCCUCGGGCUUGAUCUUCAAUUGGUGGUAUCCCGACUGCAAGUCUAUCUUGGAAUACACGCAUGAUCCCUGAAGCUGAUCAAACAAGUCGUCGAUUUUCGGCAACGGAUACUUGUUCUUGAUCGUGACCUUAUUAAGUUCACGAUAAUCCACGCAAAGGCGAAGUGAUCCGUCUUUCUUCUUGACGAACAUAACUGGUGCUCCCCAAGGUGAAACGCUCGGUCGAAUGAAGCCUCUGUCAAACAAAUCCUGCAACUGUGCCCUCAGCUCCCUCAGCUCUGCCGGUGCCAUCCUAUAGGGUGCCUUUGAGAUUGGGGUAGUCCCAGGGACGAGAUCUACCACAAACUCAAUCUCCCUAUCAGGAGGCAUACGGGGGGAAGAGAUCUAUCGCAUCCCCGUCAAAAACAACCCCAAAUCAUGCGAAAGUAAAGAAGUGUUCUACAUACUAACUCCGAUGUUACGUUGUCAGCCGCCAACAGUAACUUCCGGGAAGUUAAAGCCAAAACACUCAAUCAACUCUAACUUUUUAGGGUUAUCAUAAUACCCAAUCAUGAUACUUCGCUCACAAGAUCGAAUAGACCUCGUCUCUCCGAGCUAUUUCCUAUAGUCCAACCGGCCUAAGUUUGCUAGGUCCACUAGGACUCAACCCUAGGCUCUGAUACAAUUUAAUCUGUCAGCCCGACCCAGCGGAACGCCGCGGCACGUGCCAGACGCCGUCAUACGUCUAAAAAACUAUAAAGCUCUAAAACAGACGAUAAUAAAAGCAGUAAUAAAAGCAUCUAGGAGUAUCAGAGCAUAUAAAUGUCUAAUGAUACAAGAAAUUCCAGAUACAAAUGCUAUAGGUAGAUCAUAGGUGGUCUCUAUACAUGGAUACAAAACUCUCACCUCACAACUACAAAAAGAAAUGUAAACACCUAGGCAAGUAUGUACCGCUUCGCUAGUAGCUAAGCGAUCCAUUGCGCGAUCCCGUGCUCCGCCGGUGCCGAAGGCUCUGAAAGUAAACUAUAAAACGGGGGCGUGAGAACUAUUAAAUAGUUCCAGUGGGCAAUUACUGAUUUCAGUGAAUGCACCACAAGGCCAAAGCACAAAAGAUUCAGUGACUAUAAAUAGUAAAACGAAGAUAAGUAAAAAUGCAACUACUAGCAACAUGAUAUCUCUACUUAGCAUAAAUAGCAUAAUUAUGAAGCAACUAUGCAUGGAGUAAAAGUCUCCAGCUAUAUAACGUUCACAUGCGAAAUAGUAAGUUCCGUUGUUUACUAUUCUAUGUCAAUGUCCAAGUAUACACUAAGUCAACAUCUGUCCACAUGUCAUAAUGAAUACUCAAAGUCAAAUCUGAAGAGACCCACCGAAGGCUGUCUAUGGCCCUGUGACCUACAGUAGGCUGUCUGGCCGGUGCGAGCCAUGGCCCGUUGUAGUCAUCAUCCACCCUAGAAUGAGCCUGGCCCAGCGCAAUCCACUCUGGCGCCCAUCCCGCACGGGAAUAUGAGGCAUGGCUAUCUCCGGAGUCCGACUGUGUAGGGAGCGACCCUCACAAGCAUGUGCGAAUGAGCACAAUGGCAAAUAGUCAAACGAUCUGUCGCAAUACAAGUCCUCAUGUCUAAUAACAUGGAAUGUGUCAAGUAUCCUAAU
rnacentral:lncRNA from 1 species